ACCGUUUCAGUGGCAUUUAAAUCCCCGGCGCUCCUCAGUCUAGGUGACGCGCGGUCGCCCCCCCAGGCAGCCCGGGCCGCGGCGGUUGCUGCGGCCGCUGCCAGAGCUCACUUGGAGCACGGGGGGCCAAAGGGAGUAGAGAUUGUCUUCUGCGCGUACCCGACUCUGCUCGCCUCCGCCUCCAGGAUGUGGGGGAUGGGAAGCGACCCUCCACGGCCCUCUCCCCACCCAGCCCAGAAAGCUGAACUGGCAAGAGCUUCAGCUACUGAGGAAUCAAACCAGAGGAAAGCAAGGCGGACCUCACAGAGGAGAUUCUCUUGGGAGGGCAGUCCCCCUGCUGUGAGGAAAGAGGGGACUCCAGCUUGUCAGGAACAGGAAGUAAGAGGCUCAGCGCUCUGAGUGCCUAUGAGCUGCUCUCCCAGCAGAAGGCCGACCAUUCCUUGUCCCCCACGCCUCGUUCCUAGCCCUCUGUGGGCCUCCUCAUUCCGGGUUUGCAGUAACCUUCUAGCUCCGGGAGGCUGGCCUCAAAGCUGCACCAGGCCUCCGCUGGCCUCCUUGUGCUAGUUCUCGCUCCCUGAAACCCUCUCCCUCCACCUCGGUUCUCCUGGGCAACCUAGGUAGGGUAUUUUCCUCGGGAUCACAAACCCUUGCUGGAACCCGACCCACAGACACCGGGGCUUCCACAGACCUUGCCCUUUUAACAGCGGGCUCGGCCUCUGGCGGUGCGGGGCCCAUCUUUCUCAGGGAGGCUCUGCAAGACAAUUUCCCCCAGCCUGGAUUGGGUAGGCUUCUGCAGUCCGGAUUCUUUCCCAGCCCCCACCCGGCAGGAUUCGGAAAGGCCACAGAGCAGGGUAAGAGAUCUUUGGUCUUUUGAACAAGGAAGCCAGCGACCCACGCAGGAAUCGAGCUAACGUCUCUUUAAAUAGCCCCUAGGAGAGUGGGUGAAAGGCGAGCUUGGGCCAUGAGAGAAGUAAUCCUCUGCAAGCUGUUUGCUUGGCUCCAAGUCCCUCUUUCAGGACUCUUCCGCUGGAAAGAGAAUGAGCAAGGAGGAGACAGACCGAGGCCCGGAGCUGUUCUUGGCAUCUGCGGCUCAGCCAAGCUGUUGUUUUAAAAGAGCAAUAAAAAUGAAUUAUGACUAAACGCCUUCUAACUUAAUGCUUUCGGACGGGGAUCCCCGGCAAAUACGUAAGAGGAUUUUUAUUUGUGCAUGUGUUCCUGCAAUUGAUCUCUUUGAUGACAUUCUCAUUCAUAGAAAGCGUUUGAUUUAUGAGCUUAGGACGAAUCUCAUCCAGGAGCUGCACAGCCCUGCCACAGCCAGGACGCCCUGCUCUGGAGCCUGGGGCUUGAACCUACACAGUUCCCACACACCAAGAUGGCUGAGGAACUGGGGGAGUAGAGAGUGGAGGGAAGGGUAGGCAGCGAACCACCACCCCCCCCCAAGAAUGAUGGAGGCUUCAUUGUAACUCCCAAGCCUUUGCAGUUAAGAGCUGGGUUCUUAAACAUCAAUCAGCUUGCCCCACGCACAUGUUGCUGCAGUUUCUCACAGUAAGUCAUCAGAACAGAGCCCAGAAAAGGAAAAAUAAAUAAAAGUAGGGGCAGACAAAAUAAGAGGGGGAAAAACAGAACACCCCAAUAACACACCCUAGAUCACAUUUUAUUGAUAUUUCAUUUAAAGUGCUCCUUCUCUGUCUAAGAAACUGGGUUAAUUAAUAUUCUAAGGUGCAGAAACUCUCUGUUUUAAAAUAUCAGUUUGCUAACCUGACUUCAAACCUUUAAUGAUUUAUUAUUAGCAAAGUAAACAGAUCUAAGAAUUAAAUAUCGGUGUGUGUGUGUGUGUGUGUGUGUGUGUGUUAUGGGGGCAAGAAUCCUGGGAUGACUGGAAAGAACCCUGCCUGGCAUGCAUUUUCCAGCUAGUAACUACUGUUUUGUUUUAUUUUGUUUUCCUCUAUCUUUUAGGUCUGUUUUGCCUGAACCCAUCAACAACUGGGAGAUUAAUCAACCACACUGAAGUGGGGAGAGGAAAGGGAGGAGCUGGAAUGUAGAUGUUUGAAACAAAUGUGUAUAAAUAAAUGAAUUUUUGAUAACUUGGUUAUUGA